AAAUUGAAGAGUUUGAUCAUGGCUCAGAUUGAACGCUGGCGGCAGGCCUAACACAUGCAAGUCGAGCGGUAGCACAGAGAGCUUGCUCUCGGGUGACGAGCGGCGGACGGGUGAGUAAUGUCUGGGAAACUGCCUGAUGGAGGGGAUAACUACUGGAAACGGUAGCUAAUACCGCAUAAUGUCGCAAGACCAAAGUGGGGGACCUUCGGGCCUCAUGCCAUCAGAUGUGCCCAGAUGGGAUUAGCUAGUAGGUGGGGUAACGGCUCACCUAGGCGACGAUCCCUAGCUGGUCUGAGAGGAUGACCAGCCACACUGGAACUGAGACACGGUCCAGACUCCUACGGGAGGCAGCAGUGGGGAAUAUUGCACAAUGGGCGCAAGCCUGAUGCAGCCAUGCCGCGUGUGUGAAGAAGGCCUUCGGGUUGUAAAGCACUUUCAGCGGGGAGGAAGGCGAUAAGGUUAAUAACCUUGUCGAUUGACGUUACCCGCAGAAGAAGCACCGGCUAACUCCGUGCCAGCAGCCGCGGUAAUACGGAGGGUGCAAGCGUUAAUCGGAAUUACUGGGCGUAAAGCGCACGCAGGCGGUCUGUCAAGUCGGAUGUGAAAUCCCCGGGCUCAACCUGGGAACUGCAUUCGAAACUGGCAGGCUAGAGUCUUGUAGAGGGGGGUAGAAUUCCAGGUGUAGCGGUGAAAUGCGUAGAGAUCUGGAGGAAUACCGGUGGCGAAGGCGGCCCCCUGGACAAAGACUGACGCUCAGGUGCGAAAGCGUGGGGAGCAAACAGGAUUAGAUACCCUGGUAGUCCACGCCGUAAACGAUGUCGAUUUGGAGGUUGUGCCCUUGAGGCGUGGCUUCCGGAGCUAACGCGUUAAAUCGACCGCCUGGGGAGUACGGCCGCAAGGUUAAAACUCAAAUGAAUUGACGGGGGCCCGCACAAGCGGUGGAGCAUGUGGUUUAAUUCGAUGCAACGCGAAGAACCUUACCUGGUCUUGACAUCCACAGAACUUUCCAGAGAUGGAUUGGUGCCUUCGGGAACUGUGAGACAGGUGCUGCAUGGCUGUCGUCAGCUCGUGUUGUGAAAUGUUGGGUUAAGUCCCGCAACGAGCGCAACCCUUAUCCUUUGUUGCCAGCGGUUAGGCCGGGAACUCAAAGGAGACUGCCAGUGAUAAACUGGAGGAAGGUGGGGAUGACGUCAAGUCAUCAUGGCCCUUACGACCAGGGCUACACACGUGCUACAAUGGCAUAUACAAAGAGAAGCGACCUCGCGAGAGCAAGCGGACCUCAUAAAGUAUGUCGUAGUCCGGAUUGGAGUCUGCAACUCGACUCCAUGAAGUCGGAAUCGCUAGUAAUCGUAGAUCAGAAUGCUACGGUGAAUACGUUCCCGGGCCUUGUACACACCGCCCGUCACACCAUGGGAGUGGGUUGCAAAAGAAGUAGGUAGCUUAACCUUCGGGAGGGCGCUUACCACUUUGUGAUUCAUGACUGGGGUGAAGUCGUAACAAGGUAACCGUAGGGGAACCUGCGGUUGGAUCACCUCCUUA
rnacentral:rRNA from 1 species